rnacentral:ribozyme from 1 species
GCCGCGGCAGCAAGGCGGCCAAGGCAACCGCCGCCCCGAGCAACGCCAAGGAAGAGGUGAAGAAGGCACAGAAGGCCACUGUGGCGGAGCUGGAGAAGAUGCUGGAGGGCA